CAGAAACUACAAAGGAAUUAGGACGGGGCCCGGCACAAGCGGUGGAGCAUGUGGUUAAUUCGAUGAUACGCGAGGAACCUUACCUGGGCUCAAAUGUAUGUUGACGUAUUCUGAAAGGGAUACUUCUUCGGACAAUAUACAAGGUGCUGCAUGGUUGUCGUCAGCUCGUGCCGUGAGGUGUCGGGUUAAGUCCCAUAACGAGCGCAACCCUACCAUUAGUUGCCAUCAGGUCAAGCUGGGGACUCUAAUGAAACUGCCUACGCAAGUAGUGAGGAAGGUGGGGAUGACGUCAAAUCAGCACGGCCCUUACGUCCAGGGCACACACGUGCUACAAUGGCCGGUACAAAGGGCAGCUACCUGGUGACAGGAUGCUAAUCUCAAAAGCCGGUCUCAGUUCGGAUCGGAGUCUGCAACCCGACUCCGUGAAGCUGGAAUCGCUAGUAAUCGCGCAUCAGCCAUGGCGCGGUGAAUACGUUCCCGGGCCUU
rnacentral:rRNA from 1 species